UUCCUUUUUUUUUCUUAUUCCUAAUCCUUUUCAUUUUCAUUUUUUUUUUCCUAUUCCUUAACCCUUCCAUUUGACCGGUUCCUCACCUACCCUCUCUCUCAUUUCCAAUCUCACCUGUUGAUGCCCUAUCUAAUGGUUGUCAUGAAAUCAUAACAAAUAACAUCACAAAAAGCCAACAGGUGGCAAAAUUAAAAAAAAAAGGAAAAAGAAAAUUUGAUCUUUCAUCUGCCCCUCAACCAGAAAACGAGAGAAAGAACCCAGAAGCUCCUCUCUUUCUCUAGCAAGAAGCAAGCCAUAGUUGAUGGCUGUCAAGAUACGAUAUCAACUGCUCCAAGAGCUCUCUCCUUCCUCUUCUUCGAAACCAAAGAAUCAAACUAACAAACUCUGAAAUCUCAAUCCCCUGGAUGAGAGGAACUCGAAUAUAUCCUUGCAUGCAUCAUCAGAGCACCAUUUGGGUGAUCCACCAUUGAAGCCGAGAGCUUCAAGCUUCCAUUGCUCAAACUCAGAUGUGGUUAUUGCCCUACUUCAAUUGCUUGAGUUAUUCUCUGGUUUUUUUUUUUUUUUCUUGUUUGAUUUCUUGUUUAAUUUAAUUUUCUGAAAUUGAUUAUGCAUAGUUGAUGUUUUUCGUUCGAAUUGAGGGUUUCGGAUGGGGAGAUGUCAAGCUCAGCACAUGCACUGAUGCCGCACAUCAGCCAUACGUCACACAGCCCUCAGGCUCUCGGGCGAGCGAUUCCUGCCGGGCCUGCUCGGGCUCCCUCGCUAGCACACGCUGGACCACCUUCCUCGGGCUAUCUGGCCCUGUUUGAGAGCCAAUCCAUCUGGCUAUUGCCGACGGUGGAACUGCUCUAAGGCCUUUUCAAGUAACUAGUUUCGUUUGCUAGCACGACAUCUUAGCACGCCCAUGAGUCUUCGGAGUGCCCAUCAAAAUGUGAAGCUACACACAAACGGCAUCGACACCUCUGACAAAACCUCGCUCCUUCUCAGCCCAUUUGAAGUAAUUUACUGCCGAGUUUGGCUUGCUUUUGUGGCUAAGAAGAGUACUGAUCACACUAGUUUGUAUUAAUUCCGAGUCUUCUGAAAUCGGGGCGGCGAACUCGCCUUGAUUUGGGUCUGAUGCAACUGGGUUUUCGUGAAAUUCGAUUUCUGAUGUGGGUUUCUCCGGAAAAUCAGAUUCUGAUGUGAUUUUCUCGUAAAAAUCUGUGCUUGGAUUGGAAUUCCCGGAAAAUGGGGGCGAUUCUGAAUGGGGUUUUGGAAAUUGGGGUUGUGUGGAGAGGAAUUUGGGGUUUAAGAAAGGAAGGCGACGUAGUGCAGGGAGUGGUGAGGAAUUGAGAGACUUCUUUGUUUUGGGGUUUUUGCUGCUGAAGAAGAAAUAGCAGAAACCCUAAUGGAGAUCAAAGGCUUCGGCUUGGUGGCGGGAGUGAUGAAGUGAGGAAGGGGAUGACAACAGAGGCUGUGGCGCGAGCUUUGGCCAUUUUACGGUUUUACCCCUUUGAGAUAAAACUCAAAUCCCCAAAUACAUAUUAAGGAUAUUAAUUGUUUGAUAGGCAAAUCAGAAAAUGGCGCUUAACAAAAAAAUACCACAUAAUCAUUUAUUCAUACACAAGUGAAAUGUGACGUUUGAUUUUCGUA